AUUGAACGCUGGCGGCAUGCUUUACACAUGCAAGUCGAACGGUAACAGGCCGCAAGGUGCUGACGAGUGGCGAACGGGUGAGUAAUGCAUCGGAACGUGCCCAGUCGUGGGGGAUAACGCAGCGAAAGCUGCGCUAAUACCGCAUACGAUCUAUGGAUGAAAGCGGGGGACCGUAAGGCCUCGCGCGAUUGGAGCGGCCGAUGUCAGAUUAGGUAGUUGGGGGGGUAAAGGCUCACCAAGCCGACGAUCUGUAGCUGGUCUGAGAGGACGACCAGCCACACUGGGACUGAGACACGGCCCAGACUCCUACGGGAGGCAGCAGUGGGGAAUUUUGGACAAUGGGCGCAAGCCUGAUCCAGCAAUGCCGCGUGCAGGAAGAAGGCCUUCGGGUUGUAAACUGCUUUUGUACGGAACGAAACGGUCCUGGUUAAUACCUGGGGCUAAUGACGGUACCGUAAGAAUAAGCACCGGCUAACUACGUGCCAGCCGCCGCGGUAACAC
rnacentral:rRNA from 1 species